rnacentral:rRNA from 1 species
UCUCAGAGAUUAAGCCAUGCAUGUCUAAGUACAUACCUUUAAACGGUGAAACCGCGAAUGGCUCAUUAAAUCAGCUAUGGUUCCUUAGAUCGUACCUACUACAUGGAUAACUGUAGUAAUUCUAGAGCUAAUACAUGCCACUAUGCCCUGACCCGCAAGGGAACGGGUGGAUUUAUUAGAACAGAACCAACCGUGAAGUGGCUUCGGCUGCUUCCGUUGCACUCUGUGAUGACUCUGGAUAACUUCACUGAUCGCAGUCGGCCUUGUGUCGGCGACGGAUCUUUCAAAUGUCUGCCCUAUCAAUUUUCGAUGGUAGGUGACCUGCCUACCAUGGUGAUAACGGGUAACGGGGAAUCAGGGUUCGAUUCCGGAGAGGGAGCCUGAGAAACGGCUACCACUUCCAAGGAAGGCAGCAGGCGCGCAAACUACCCAAUCCCGGCACGGGGAGGUGGUGACGAAAAAUACGGAUACGGGACUUAACUAAGGCUCCGUAAUUCGAAUGAGUACAAUUUAAAUCCUUUAACGAGGAUCAACUGGAGGGCAAGUCUGGUGCCAGCAGCCG